UCCGAGUUGACCCCGGCAGUCUCCCAUGGGUCCCCACCAUUACGUGCUGGCAACAUGGAACGAGGGUUGCGCUCGUUGCGGGACUUAACCCAACAUCUCACGACACGAGCUGACGACAGCCAUGCACCACCUGUGCACUUGCCCCGAAGGGCUGCCGUGUUUCCACGACAUUCAAGUGCAUGUCAAGCCUUGGUAAGGUUCUUCGCGUUGCGUCGAAUUAAACCACAUACUCCACCGCUUGUGCGGGCCCCCGUCAAUUCCUUUGAGUUUCAGUCUUGCGACCGUACUCCCCAGGCGGCGAACUUAACGCGUUAGCUUCGACACUGAGAGCCUGAUUGCUCCCAACGUCCAGUUCGCAUCGUUUACGGCGUGGACUAC
rnacentral:misc_RNA from 1 species